UGCGCAGGCGGUGGCUCAAGUCAGAUGUGAAAUCCCCAGGCUUAACCUGGGAAUUGCAUUUGAAACUAAGUCGCUAGAGUUUGGCAGAGGGGGUGGAAUUCCACGUGUAGCAGUGAAAUGCGUAGAGAUGUGGAGGAACACCGAUGGCGAAGGCAGCCCCCUGGGCUAAAACUGACGCUCAUGCACGAAAGCGUGGGGAGCAAACAGGAUUAGAUACCCUGGUAGUCCACGCCCUAAACCAUGUCAACUAGUUGUCGGGAGAGCAAUCUCUUGGUAACGCAGCUAACGCGUGAAGUUGACCGCCUGGGGAGUACGGUCGCAAGAUUAAA
rnacentral:rRNA from 1 species